AGCAGGUAGUACAAGGACAUGCUUUAUUUUAUUUAUUUUGCAGUGUCCUUUUUUGUUGCCAAAGAAACACAGACACCUGGACUCAGGACCUGGCAGUGUGUCCUGUCUACAACCUCACAAGAGUGGAUGUUAUUUUCCAAGAUCAGAGGAUCUUUCACCUUCUGACCAUUUAUUUCAGCACACCAGGGAAGUUCCAGAAGACUGGAAGAAAGAUAAUUUUGUGUCAUAUUUAAACAAAAUAAGCAGGAUGAUCUAGGUAAUUAUUGGCCCAUCAGUCUGAAAUCAAUCCUGGACAAGAUAAUGGAGCAGCUGAUACAGGAGUUAAUUAAUAAAGAAUUAA